GGUGGGGACUCAUGGGAGACUGCCGGGGUCAACUCGGAGGAAGGUGGGGAUGACGUCAAGUCAUCAUGCCCCUUAUGUCCAGGGCUUCACGCAUGCUACAAUGGCUGGUACAGAGAGUGGCGAGCCUGUGAGGGUGAGCGAAUCUCGGAAAGCCGGUCUCAGUUCGGAUUGGGGUCUGCAACUCGACCUCAUGAAGUCGGAGUCGCUAGUAAUCGCAGAUCAGCAACGCUGCGGUGAAUACGUUCCCGGGCCUUGUACACACCGCCCGUCA
rnacentral:rRNA from 14 species